rnacentral:rRNA from 1 species
CCUACGGGUGGCAGCAGUGAGGAAUAUUGGUCAAUGGACGCAAGUCUGAACCAGCCAUGCCGCGUGCAGGAAGAAGGCUCUAUGAGUUGUAAACUGCUUUUGUACGAGGGUAAACGCAGAUACGCGUAUCUGUCUGAUAGUAUCGUACGAAUAAGGAUAGUCUAACUCCGUGCCAGCCGCCGCGGUAAUACGGAGGAUUCAAGCGUUAUCCGGAUUUAUUGGGUGUAAAGGGUGCGUAGGCGGUCGGAUAAGUUAGAGGUGAAAUCCCGAGGCUCAACUUCGGAAUUGACUCUGAUACUGUUCGGCUAGAGAGUAGUUGCGGUAGGCGGAAGGUAUGGUGUAGCGGUGAAAUGCUUAGAGAUCAUACAGAACACCGAUUGCGAAGGCAGCUUACCAAGCUACUUCUGACGUUGAGGCACGAAAGCGUGGGGAGCAAACAGGAUUAGAUACCCUAGUAGUC